GCAUUAGUGGUUGUAAUGGUUAACAUGUGGUCUUCCCAAGAGCAUUGGCCGCGUUCGGGGUUCGAUUCCCCGCUAAUGCA
rnacentral:tRNA from 1 species